GGUGCUCCAUUCACAUGAACCAGCUGAGGUUUUUGUUGGUGAUCUGUCUAACAAGUCAUCAAUACUGGGACUUUUCUUAAUUGUACUCUGAAAGAUGAAAUAAAACAACAACAUUAAAUUGAGGAGCUGCAGAGGGCUUGGAGCAGGAGGGUGCUCCACGGCCCCUGUGAUGGACAGUCAUGGAAAUGCUAGUCAGUGAAGAAGUUGUCAAACUCUGCAGGUCACGCUUCAAUGCUAAUGGUAUGGUAGGAAUGACACUUACCAGAAGACUGCCUAAUUCCGACAUGGCUGAAUCAUCAUCAUCACUUUCAGAUUGUCUUUGGGGUCGCUAACACAAUGAAUGAAAAUAUAUAAAAUAAAAUUUUAUUAGUUAAUUGCA